rnacentral:rRNA from 1 species
CCUACGGGGGGCUGCAGUGGGGAAUAUUGCACAAUGGGCGCAAGCCUGAUGCAGCCAUGCCGCGUGUGUGAAGAAGGCCUUCGGGUUGUAAAGCACUUUCAGCGGGGAGGAAGGCGGUGAGGUUAAUGACCUCAUCGAUUGACGUUACCCGCAGAAGAAGCACCGGCUAACUCCGUGCCAGCAGCCGCGGUAAUACGGAGGGUGCAAGCGUUAAUCGGAAUUACUGGGCGUAAAGCGCACGCAGGCGGUCUGUCAAGUCGGAUGUGAAAUCCCCGGGCUCAACCUGGGAACUGCAUUCGAAACUGGCAGGCUAGAGUCUUGUAGAGGGGGGUAGAAUUCCAGGUAUAGCGGUGAAAUGCGUAGAGAUCUGGAGGAAUACCGGUGGCGAAGGCGGCCCCCUGGACAAAGACUGACGCUCAGGUGCGAAAGCGUGGGGAGCAAACAGGAUUAGAUACCCGUGUAGUC